GCUCAGAUACUCAAAGGAAUUGACGGGGCCCGCACAAGCGGUGGAGUAUGUGGUUAAUUCGAUGCAACGCGAAGAACCUUACCUGGUCUUGACAUCCCGGAGACCCUUAGGAAACUAGGGGGUGCUUCCAUCUGGAAGAAUCUGGAGACAGGUGCUGCAUGGCUGUCGUCAGCUCGUGUCGUGAGAUGUUGGGUUAAGUCCCGCAACGAGCGCAACCCUUGCCUUUAGUUGCCAGCAGUUCGGCUGGGCACUCUAAAGGGACUGCCGGUGUUAAACCGGAGGAAGGUGGGGAUGACGUCAAGUCCUCAUGGCCUUUAUGACCAGGGCUACACACGUACUACAAUGGCCGAUACAAAGGGCAGCGACACUGCGAGGUGAAGCCAAUCCCGUAAAAUCGGUCUCAGUCCGGAUUGGAGUCUGCAACUCGACUCCAUGAAGUUGGAAUCGCUAGUAAUCGUGGAUCAGCACGCCACGGUGAAUACGUUCCCGGGCCUU
rnacentral:rRNA from 1 species